UGGCUGCCUCUAGUCCUGCUCCUGAGUUGUUGCAGGGAGUCCCUGGGCUGCCUUCUGACACGAGAUGUGUCGUGCCUGAUGCUCACUUGGGUGACUGAUGACCACCCUGCUUCAUUCACAGUCACUAUUUUGGAGAAGUGCUGCACUUGAGAACUGAGUCUUGGAUAAAAGCCAAGGUCUUGAUCCAGCUCUUAGUGCAGCAAGUGGAAAGAUACCCUUUUAUGUGAGAAAAGCU
rnacentral:lncRNA from 12 species